UACGGAGGGUGCAAGCGUUAUCCGGAUUUACUGGGUUUAAAGGGUGCGUAGGUGGGCCUGUAAGUCAGUGGUGAAAUCUUCAAGCUUAACUUGGAAACUGCCAUUGAUACUAUAGGUCUUGAAUUAUCUGGAGGUAAGCGGAAUAUGUCAUGUAGCGGUGAAAUGCUUAGAGAUGACAUAGAACACCCAUUGCGAAGGCAGCUUACUACGGAUUGAUUGACACUGAGGCACGAAAAGCGUGGGGGAUCAAAACAGG
rnacentral:rRNA from 1 species